GUCCAUUCGGGUACAUCUGAUAUAAUUGGAACCGUAGAUAGAAGAUUAGCAUGGCCCCUGUGAUGACACGCACAAAUCAAGAAAUGGUCAAUAGCUCA
rnacentral:snRNA from 1 species